GCCUUCCAGGACCUGAAAGAUGGAGAGAGACUAUUUACAAGGCCCUGGAGCGACAGGACAAGAGGGAAUGACUUCAAGCUGAAGAAAGGUCAGGGAGAAAAGUCCAAGUUUUUACACUGACUGGAAGUUCUUGUGAAAUGUUGAGUCGGAAACAUGGGAGAGACCUGACCCAAGUGGACCAUUUAUUCUAAAUGGCAGAGAGGGAGAAAAAGGCAAGCAGAAUUCCCAAAUCAUAUGGAGGAGCCACUGCAUGAAUCCAGAGGGGGAAGCGGAAUCCUGGUCGCUGAGGCUCUGCACCCCGUGGCAGAGGGAGCUCUCGGCAGAUCGAGAGGUUU